CUGUUUGCUCUUGUCAUUGCUGUGUGGUUCCGUACCUACCUGAGUCCAAGAAAAGCACAUGCCUCUAUCCGCCAUGGCAUCGCCACAAUGAUUGGUGUCUACCUGGCAGUAUUUUGCUUUGGAUGGUACUCCUUGCACAUAUUUUCUUUGGUUCUUUUGAACUACUGCAUCAUGAUCUAUGCAAGUAUUGAAAAAGUUCACAGUUACUCCUUUAUACUUGCACUGGGAUACCUAACGCUAUGCCAGAUUAACCGAGUGUAUAUAUUCAACUACGGGAUCCUCACGACAGAUUUUUCUGG